CUCUCCAGCCCCUCUAACCCCCAUUAGGCAAUCUUUACAAGAUUUGCCUGCCAAGAUCAGGUCUGAACCUGGUAAUUCUUUUAUUAUCCCUUCACACACUGUAGCUGCAGAUGUACCAGACAUGAUGGAGUUGUAACUAAUGUAAAUGUGACUUGGAAUAACAAAGUGCAACUGAACACAAGGCUGCAACAGGAAACUGUUGUAGUGCUGGUUAGUCUGUCAAACAACUUCCCUUUUCAGAGAAAGAGAGAUGCUGAUAAAUCCCCUUGACAAAUUAUUUUAUCAGAUAUUGAGAAUAAGAUUGUCACAAAACUCUUCUUUAUAGUUAAUCUACUUUAUUUUUAUUGAAACUGUGCGCUGGAAAUUUAAAGGGUCAAAAACUUCUUUCUAGUGGUAUCUGGCCAUGGUUUAAUUUAAAACCAGGUUUUUUGAUAUCCAUCCUAGAGAUUUCUGCCUGCUUUCAAUGCAGUGGAGGUGGGUGGAAUUUUGCUUGUGGUGCUUACUUUUCUCACAAACCAUGUCCCAGAUACUCAGGAUAAUCCACAGAAUACACUGUCAACAGUUUCACAGAAACUUUUUCUUUGGUCAAAAGCAGUUCCACUAGAAACUGUCCACAAUGAGGACUGUGGUUUUCCAGAGAAACUAACACAUUCAUUGACUGUCGGCUUUCUGCUGUAACCGAAUAAUUACACAUCAUAUUUACGAGAAACAUGGUUUCUGUAAUCAGCAAAGGUGAUUAGAAAAGCUUAAUUUAACCAGAGAAAUGCUGACACAAGUGGAAGCGUGGGGAAACAAAUGGAAUUAUGAGACUGUCUUCUUUGUUUACAAUCAUCUAUAUUUAUGUUUUCCUGACAAACCUGCUUUCGCAGUCAUGAUGACUGACCUCCAUCAGAAGCAAAGGUGGAAAUAGCAUGAUGUUGCUCUGCCAACAAAAGUCAUAGGAAUGUGAUACGGUAGGGUGGAUGGUUGGUUGUACAAAGCAUGUAAUGGCAACACCAGGAAACAGGGUUUGCGUCCAUCUUCUAUACAGUCAACUCUGGUUUCUUUAACCCAUUAAAGGAAUAAUUUGACAUUUUUGGAAAUCAUUUGCUUUUGUUCCAAGAGUGAGAUCAGAGGUUCAGUAGGGGAGAGUUGCCUUAAAUGUAACUGUUGUAACUCGCACGUUUUCUCUUGCUACUUAAAUGCCAUCAUGACCUCAUCACAUCAGCAUGUGGUCAGUGCAGUACUAAACAUCCCUGAGAAAUAUCAACAGGAUUCGUCCACUCUGCAGGGAAUGGUGGCUAGAAAACCAGUUUAGCACAAAGUCUGCAGACUUGCAUACCACCUGGAAAACCAAAUACCCAGAGGCAUGGCAAGAGAAAGAAAUGGCAGAGAAGGACUGGUUUAUUGGAUUUAUGAAGAGGCACCAACGUUUGUCAAUACAGUGUCCACAGGCUGCUAGCCUUUCCUGUGCCACCAGCUUCAACCAAUUCAACGUCCAAGCCUUCCUCAACCGGGCUGAUGCCUGGGAACAACAGUCCAGACACCAAACAAAACUGUUCACCAAGGUGGUGAAACAAAUAGGGGCAAAGAGAGGGGCACCCCAUCACCAUGGCCUUUGCAGUUAAUUCACAAAGUAAGAGUGUACCUCCCCAGUUCAUCUUUCCCAGAAAGAAGUUCCAGUUCUUCAUGAUUAAUGGCAGACCCACUGGCUGCAUUGGCACAGCCAGUGGACCAGGCUGGAUACAGAAGGAUGAUUUCAUUGUGUUUCUCCAGCACUUUGUGAGGCACAUCCUUAGGUGAUCCUUCUUCUUGACAACCAUGCCUCAUGCUUGUCCAUCCAGGGGACUGACUUCUACAGGGAACACAGAGUCAUUUUGUUUCCCUCCUCAUAACUCCCAUAAACUCCAACUCCUGGACAGGAGUGUGUACAGGCCUUUGAAGAGGUAUGUCAACACCGCCGUUGACAGCUGGAUGAAGAACAAUCCAGUUCUGCUCGUCCCACUGGCUCUCCUGCCUCUCCUGGGGUUCAGGGUUGCCCCUUCCAUUUCAGGAGGGGGCAGCUGGAGGACCAUCCACAGCAGCUGGAAGUACAGAGUGUUUCAAUCUUGUUGCUGUUCGCCCUUACCCAAAGGCUGGACCCAGAAAAGCCACCACCGAGGGGAGGAAGAGGAGGACAACAGCUAAAAAGCUAUAUAACAGAUAGCUAUAUAACAGACACACCAACAAAACUGGCCUUGGAAGAGGAGAGAAAAAAGCAAGUUGCACCACACAGCUCCAAGCUCCCAAAGAAAAAGCAAACAACAGCUACCUGGGAGAAGAGAAACGCAGAAUGCCAGGUUUGUGGGGAGGACUUUGUUUCAUUGAAGCCUGGAGAAGUGUGGUUGUGAUGCUGGAGCUGUAAAGAGUGGACCCAUGAGGGGUGCACAGAAAAAGGGAAAAUCUGCUUGUCACUAUUGUUAACUUGAUAAACCUACAGCAGGAAAUGGGCUCCAUGGAAAAAAUCAAAUCAAAUUCAUCAAAUACAAUUAAAAUGGCACACAUUUUAUUUUUUUGGAUUCUUUAAGCCAUUGAGAGGUUGUAGUCUUACCUUGGGGAAAAAAAGUAAUUAACCAGCUCACAAGAGCAGCUUCAUUUCUGGAUGAAAUAUUGUUUAUGCACUGUAUGCAUCCAUUUUUGUAUGGUUUAAUGUAAUAUUUAAAUGCUGACAAGAAGUUUUUCAUACCAUGGCCUUGUAUGUCUUUUGGUCAAUAAAACUUGCAAAUAUAAAUGGACUGUGUGGCUAUGUAAAGCCUAGUGACUUGGGUUGUUGCUACAUUGCUACAUUUUUGACUCUCCAGGGCUGUGCAGAUACGCACAGGCCUCCCAAAAAAGCAUGCACUGUAUUGGCCAAUACUCUUUGUUCAGUCAGAUGUCAUUCAAUUAUAUUCUAGAUCAAAACUAUGUGGGUGUGAUCAAUGUUCUUGCCAACAUGGAAGGAAACGAAUGUGCCAACUAGUAUAUCCAGUAAGUUUUAAUAGUAUUAUGUUCAUACAUUAUCUGAUCACAUCCUUGGUAUGAAAUCAAUGUUGCUUGACUGAAAUAAUGUUGAUUUGCCAUGAAAGCUGUUUGUCUAAUGCUGUUUUUUAGCCAUGUUACAACCGCAGCUCACGCUGUUACAAUUGAGACUCACAUGCGCUUCAAUUGUAACAUCAGGCAGCGUCCACUUUCAGUUUAAUUCCUCACCACUUGUUUUCUCUAUUGAAAAACUUUGAUAGCAGACACAUGUAGGUCGUUUGUCUGGAAAUAUUACACAUGUAAGUAAGAAAAAACGUGAAAAGUGAAAAAUGUCAAAAUUGUGGCGGCUCUCCCCUACUACCUUCAUGAUGUGCCUCAAGUUCAGAGCAAGAGUCAGGAGCCAGUUUGUCAAGAAAUAGUUUCAGCACAUAACUUUUCCCUAAAACCACAAAUUGUCAUUUUUACAUUACUGCUUGUAUACAGAUUAAACACAUAAGUGUUAAAGAGUAAACUAGAGAUGUUGGUAGGUGUAUUUUUGGCUAAUUGUUUCCCCAUACUUCCAGUCUUUAUGCUAAGCUCGGCUAAUCACCUUCUGGCUGUAGCUCCAUGUUAAACCUUCAAUAAUUAAACCUUUAAUAAUUUUCUGGCCAGCAGAAACAAGUUGUGAACACAACUUUGACUUAUUAUCAACUUUUAAGUUGAUAAGCUGAACUUGUUCCAAACAGUUGCUCAUUUCCACAUCCAGCAGUUACAGAGCAACAUUCAUUUGGAGUUGUGUUUCUGUCCAUCUGGUGAAUGAAAGUCCAAAAUUCACUAUCGUUUAGCUCUGUUUUUGCUCUCUACCAACUCCUGAGGGAAAUAUCUGGCUCUUUCUGAGAACAUCUUUCUGAGAAUGGCAUUCUUGAAAAUUUUCCAUCUGGCUUCAGAGCGAAUCAUAGUAUAGAGACAGCUCUUGUCAAUGUUUUAAAUAAUCUCAGAUUAAAUACUGAUUGAGGAAAUAUAUCUGUACUCAUUCUUCUCAACACUAUUGACCACAAUCUUUUACUUAGCUGUUUUGAGAAAUGGGUUGGUCUCUCUGGUACAAUUCUAAGCUAGUUUUGAUCAUAUAUUACUGGAGGGGAUUUCUGUCAGAAUCGGGGGUCACAGAAACAGCAAACAUUGACUUGGUGUGGCCCAAGACAGUGAGGACCUUUGCUGUUCUCAGUCAACAUGCUGCUACUAGGAUCCAUAAUCUGUCAGCAUGGCAUGACAGCUAUGCAGAUGACACACAACUGUAUGUGUCUGUGAGGCCAGAUGACCCAAGUACUCUGUCCAGUCUAACUGAUUGUGUGUCAGCCAUUAAUGAAUGGAUGAGCAAGAACUUCCUAAAGCUAAAUGAAUACAAGACUGAGAUCCACCUAGUUGGCCCAAGAAAUAAGAGGGAACCUGUUCUUGCUAAACUGGGACAUCUGGUAUCACAGACAUGACCACAAGUAAGAAACCUCAGUGCCAUUGUAGAUUCUGACGUCAAUUUUAAAGCCUAUUUUAAUUCAUUGACCAAAACUGCCUUUUAUCAUUUACGCAAUAUAGUGAAGGUGAGACCUCUACUGAGCCAGCAAGAUGCUGAAAAGCUUGUUCAUGCUUUUAUUUCUAGUCGUCUUGAUUACUGCAAUGCUCUAUAUACUGGCCUACCAUUGCAAAACUACAGACUAUCAGAAUGCUGCUGCCAGGGUUUUAACAAAAACUAGAAUGGCAGAUUACAUAACUGUUGUUUUACAUGACCCACACUGGCUCCCUGUAUCUUUUAGAACUGAUUUUAAAGUCUCUCUCUUAGUUUUUAAGACACUAAAUGAUCUCGCCACCUCUUACAUCACAGACUCUAUCGUUUUAUGAUCCUCCACAUCCCCUAAGAUCCUCUACAGCUGCUCUUUUAACUGUUCCCAAGGUCACCACUAAAACCUUUGGGGAUGCUGCUUGUAGCCACUAUGCCCCAAAAAUAUUGAACACUCUACCUUUAAAUAUUAGACAUGCUGACUCAGUGGACAGUUUUUAAUGACAACUCAAAACAUAUUUUUAAUAUAGCCGAUAACUAGCAACUGUCUGUUUUUAAUUUUUUAUGAUCCUCUCUCAUUUCUAUUUAAUGACUGUGUAACUGUGUAAAUACUAGUUUAUAAAUAGUAACACUCAUUUCUCAUUUCUUCCUUAUGUAUGUGUAUGCUUUUAAACUUGUGUUAUGGGUGUUUUUGUUUUUGCUGCUGAACUGUAAAGCACUUAGAGCUGCAUCCUGUGCAUGAAAGGUGCUAUAGAAAUAAAGUUCAUUCAUUCAUUCUUUAGCUGCUAAAUGCUCCACUAUGUUCACAAGCUACAGUAGUCACUAAGGUUGCAGGCUGGACAGCUAUACAAUGAGCUUAAACAAAGUUAAAGCUUCAUAAGGUGUAGUCAAGCUGCAGAGUCGGGUGAUAAUUUUCUGUUGGUUCAUCGCUACAAGCAAUGCCUCUCACAUUACACAUUGUAAUUUGAUAUGCUGUUAUAAAAAUAUUGAUUAUAGCCUCUUUAAAGCACUGAGGUGGUAUCAAUCCUCUCAUCUAGCUCUCGAAAAGAAAGCAAAUAAGUGUAUUUCCUACAAUGUUGAACUAUUUUUGGUUUUCCCAAACCUAAUCAAGUAGUUUCAGUUGCCUAAAUCUGACCACACUGUUACUCUACCAGGUCAGUUGUUCUUUGAACAAAUAUAUGAGUCAUUAUGAGA